AGUGAACGCUGGCGGCAGGCCUAACACAUGCAAGUCGAGCGGCAGCGCGGGGGCGAACCCUGGCGGCGAGCGGCGGACGGGUGAGGAAUGCAUCGGAAUCUACCUCGUUGUGGGGGAUAACCUCGGGAAACCGGGACUAAUACCGCAUACGACCUACGGGUGAAAGUGGGGGACCUUCGGGCCUCACGCGAUGAGAUGAGCCGAUGCCGGAUUAGCUAGUUGGCGGGGUAAAGGCCCACCAAGGCGACGAUCCGUAGCUGGUCUGAGAGGAUGAUCAGCCACACUGGAACUGAGACACGGUCCAGACUCCUACGGGAGGCAGCAGUGGGGAAUAUUGGACAAUGGGCGCAAGCCUGAUCCAGCCAUGCCGCGUGUGUGAAGAAGGCCUUCGGGUUGUAAAGCACUUUUGUUGGGGAAGAAACCGGCCGGAUUAAUACUUCGGCUGAAUGACGGUACCCAAAGAAUAAGCACCGGCUAACUUCGUG
rnacentral:rRNA from 1 species